UACCCAAUGCUAACUCAGCGAGGUAGUGACAAGAAAUAACGGGCUGGAGUUAUACUCCGGGACUGAAAUGAGUUUAAUUUACACCACUUUUCGAGGAUCAAUUGGAGGGCAAGUCUGGUGCCAGCAGCCGCGGUAAUUCCAGCUCCAAUAGCGUAUAUUAAAGUUGUUGCAGUUAAAAAGCUCGUAGUUGGAUUUCUGGCAGGAUGACAAUACCGGCUGCCUGGCUUGUGUUGCGUUGUCCUACCAUCCUUCUGUUAAACCUAGCGGAGUUUCAUUACUUUCUAGGCAGCUCAAUAUUUUACCUUGAGAAAAUUAGAGUGUUUCAGGCAGGCUAGCGCCGGAAUACAUUAGCAUGGAAUAAUAGAAUAGGACUCAUCAUCUUUCUGUUGGUCUGAAGGUUGUGAGUAAUGAUUAAUAGGGAUAGUUGGGGGCAUUAGUCUUAACUGUCAGAGGUGAAAUUCUCAGAUUUGUUAAAGACUAACUUAUGCGAAAGCAUUUGCCAAGGAUGUUUUCAUUAAUCAAGAACGAAAGUUAGGGGAUCAAAGACGAUCAGAUACCGUCCUAGUCUUAACCAUAAACUAUGCCGACUCGGGAUUGGGAGCGAGAGUUAUCCGCUUUCAGCACCGUAUGAGAAAUCAAAGUCUUUGGGUUCUGGGGGGGGUAUGGUCGCAAGGCUGAAACUUAAAGGAAUUGACGGAAGGGCACCACCAGGCGUGGAGCUUGCGGCUCAAUUUGACUCAACACGGGGAAACUUACCAGGUCCAGA
rnacentral:rRNA from 1 species